UACGGAGGGUGCAAGCGUUAUUCGGAAUUACUGGGCGUAAAGCGCACGCAGGCGGUCUUGCAAGUCGGAUGUGAAAUCCCCGGGCUCAACCCGGGAACUGCAUUCGAAACUGGCAGACUAGAGUCUUGUAGAGGGGGGUGGAAUUCCAGGUGUAGCGGUGAAAUGCGUAGAGAUCUGGAGGAAUACCGGUGGCGAAGGCGGCUCCCUGGACAAAGACUGACGCUGAGGUGCGAAAGCGUGGGGAGCAAACAGG
rnacentral:rRNA from 1 species